GACGAACGCUGGCGGCGUGCUUAACACAUGCAAGUCGAACGGAAAGGCCCUGCUUUUGUGGGUUGCUCGAGUGGCGAACGUGUGAGUAACACGUGAGUAACCUGCCCUUGACUUUGGUAUAACUUCAGGAAACUGGGGCUAAUACCGGAUAGGAGCUCCUGCUGCAUGGUGGUGGUUGGAAAGUUUCGUCGGUUGGGGAUGGACUCGCGGCUUAUCAGCUUGUUGGUGGGGUAGUGGCUUACCAAGGCUUUGACGGGUAGCCGGCCUGAGAGGGUGAACGGACACAUUGGGACUGAGAGACGGAGCAGAAUCGUACGGGAGGCAGCAGUGGGGAAUAGUGCACAAUGGGCGGAAGCCUGAUGCAGAAACGCAGCGUGCGGGAUGACGGCCUUCGGGUUGUAAACAGAUUUCGACUGUGAAGAAGAGUGAGUGACGGUAAUGGGUAAAGAAGCACCGGCUAACUACGUG
rnacentral:rRNA from 1 species